GCAGCAAAGGUACGAACAAGCAAAGCGUAGAUGCCUCGAACUGAAAGGUACCGAGCGACCUCCUAGACGCGGCCGCAAUGCUACUAAGGAAUCGAACCUCAUCCCUGAUAUUAAUCGGAGGGUUGUGAUCCGAUGGGAAAACGGAGUGCCUGUUGGGGCCUUUGCCAAUGCUUUCAACAAUUUCCUUGCCGCUUUAGCCAGGAGGCACGAUUUCUUCAACAUAUUUUUGACGUGGAAAUCGCAGCGGAUUGAUGCGCUGGUGGCUUGUUGGAGAUAUAUAUGUCGAUUUUUCUUUCUUGACGAUAAUAUUUGUGCCUGGACGUACUGCUUCGGGCAAAUCAAUGUAUCGUUCAAGAGAUGGCGGUUUGAGGUAAAGAAAAAAUAUUUUGUCCAAAUAACAGAAGAUUGGGAGCGAUACUGGCAUCUUGACACGCGUGUGGAUGGAGUAGAUUUUUUUGCACUUUGCAGUUACUGGGACACGGCUGAAAUUCAGGU